rnacentral:rRNA from 1 species
ACGGGGGGGGCAAGCGUUGUUCGGAAUUACUGGGCGUAAAGGGCGCGUAGGCGGCCUGCUAAGUCACACGUGAAAUCCCUCGGCUCAACCGGGGAACUGCGUGUGAUACUGGCGGGCUUGAAUUCGGGAGAGGGAUGUGGAAUUCCAGGUGUAGCGGUGAAAUGCGUAGAUAUCUGGAGGAACACCGGUGGCGAAGGCGGCAUCCUGGACCGAGAUUGACGCUGAGGCGCGAAAGCUAGGGUAGCAAACGGGAUUAGAUACCCCGGUAGUCCUAGCCCUAAACGAUGAGUGCUUGGUGUGGCGGGUAUCGAUCCCUGCCGUGCCGAAGCUAACGCAUUAAGCACUCCGCCUGGGGAGUACGGUCGCAAGGCUG